rnacentral:rRNA from 1 species
AACGUACGCUGGCAGCACGCCUAACACAUGCAAGUCGAACGCAGUAGCAAUACUGAGUGGCAGACGGGUGAGUAACAUGUGGGAAUCUGCCUUGUGGUUCAGGACAACAUUGGGAAACCGAUGCUAAUACUGGAUAAGCCCUUACGGGGAAAGUUUUAAUGCCAUAAGAUGAGCCCGCAUUUGAUUAGUUAGUUGGUGAGGUAAUGGCUCACCAAGACAAUGAUCAAUAGCUGAUCUGAGAGGAUGAUCAGCCACACUGGGACUGAGACACGGCCCAGACUCCUACGGGAGGCAGCAGUGGGGAAUCUUGCACAAUGGAGGAAACUCUGAUGCAGCGAUGCCGCGUGAGUGAAGAAGGCCUUUAGGUUGUAAAGCUCUUUUGUAGGGGAAGAUAAUGACUGUGCCCU